ensembl:lncRNA
AUGUCGGCAAACACAUUCCUUGUGUUAAUAUUUAUGUUGACAGUCGUCUCAGCGUCUCCACAGCACCAGGUGGACCAGACCCCAUCAGACGUGCUGGAAGAGCAGAACAGCAGCAGAGUAAACCUGUCCUGCGAGCAUCAAAUCCCAAGCUACGACACCAUCCUCUGGUACCGGCGCUCGCAAGGAAGCCACCAGCUGGAUCUUAUCGCAUCAGUGUAUUCCUCUCUCCUGACUGUCGAGGCUUCCUUUAAAGGCCACUUCACAGUUGACGGGAAUGGAAUGAAGUGGUCUAGACUGGAGCUGCUGAAGCCGAGGAGCCCGGAGGACACAGGAGUGUAUUACUGUGCAGCCAGAAUGCACUGUGAUGAAGAACCAACGUACGCUGGUACAAAAACCCUCAGAGUAACCACAAGAGAGGGAAAACCCCAGUUUCCCUUUUCGACCAAUCGUGCAGUGUACUUCUUCACAGUGAAAUGGUUACACUGUCUGCUCAACCCCCCAACCAUGAUUGUUCCUCUACUGCUAACCAAAAGAACAGCUCACAAAACACGAUAAGACGGAGCCAAUAAAAACAUACCAUGCAUUAGGGGGUGUUCACCCUACAGGUCUCUCAAUCAUCAGUGCUGUACGGGUCGACAGUUGGAUGGCAUAACCUCCUCUCUUCAAAACAUUAACACAAAAUGGCUCCUCCCACAUGGGGGUUUCGGUAUGGUUGUGAGAUGGAAAUAGGAGCCACUUCCAUCAGAAUGAUGCAUAGGUUAUGUACUCAAUAUGGUUGUGUUUAAAGGACGACCGUCACAAGCUAGCUAGCGUGGACUUAUCACAACCAGUCAUAUUGACCAUCACCUACCUUGCGCUACUGAUUACAUCAAACAAUGUAUCAGAUACUGUCCUUACAUUUUUUCUGACUUUUCUUUAUUGUUGUACAUAAUACGAUUACGUCGGAAUUUUGUCCCAAAGUUGAAACCGAUCUUCCUUGAAUUAACAAUCACAUUUCAACAUUACUUUCCAAGUCACAAUUACCCUAGUUGUAAAAGUGUAUUUUUGGUAAUCUGAUAUUUGGUUAUUGAUUUUUUCUGAAGGUGCAUCUCUUAGCGACCAGGUUCACCAGACUCCACCUGAGAUGGUUGUGGCCAUCGAGUCAGGACCAACGGUCACGCUGGAAUGCUCUCACAGCAUUAAAGGGGACCUACUAUGCAUUUUCGACUUUUAUGACCUAUAAACAUUGUUAUAAUGAUUGAUUGUCAUGUUUAACCAUACACAAAAAACAAUGUCGAUUUUCGGGAAACUCUUCCUCUCAUCUGGGCGCUUCCAGCAUUCUCUGUCAACGCUCGGUUUCGUCCUUCUCAGCCCCCUCGCACCAACCCAACUCUGUUGUGAUUGGUUACCUUCCUUGAAGCGGAAAUGUGAACAACUGAAUCGCAAAUGUUCUCCUGAGUAUUUAGCGCUCUGCACAGCCACCCCAGACUGUCAGCAGGGAAUACGUCGAAAUGCAUGUAUGUCAUUAUUUGACACUUUAGUAUGGUUAAACAUGACUAUCAAUCAUUAUAACAACGUUUAUAGGUCAUAAAAGUCGAAAAAGCAUAAUAGGUCCCCUUUAAGGACUACGGCCAAAUCCACUGGUACAAACAGCAAUGCAACAAUAAACAGCUGGUGUUCCUAGGGUAUAUAUCCAGUACUACUGCAUUUCCCGAAGCUGGGGAGAUAAUGAGUGGGAGUGCUGAUCAAGACCAAACCGUAGAGUUAAGGAUACUAAACAUCAGCAUGGAGAUCAGCGCUUUAUAUUUCUGUGCUGCUAGAUUCCACAAUUCAGCGUAUUAGGGGUUCACCGUACAAGAAUUCCUCAUCUAAUAAUUAAUCUGAUUAACCUCCCUGCACCUGCAGCAACUGCUUUGGCAUCAGUUGGAUUUAUUGCUUUCAUUUACAGCCAAUAACACAACCUUUGGUUCACUAUGGGAAAUGCUUCAGUCUGGAGCCAAGUGACUGGCGUGGUUAUUUGAGGCGUGGUUUACGAUUGCCCUAAGCCAGUUAUGGGGCGCUAUGAAUGUCGUCUAUCAUAUGAGUCUGUCCGUAGCUCAUAGCCAAUCGUAUCAAUUAUACCAGAUGACGUACGUAGAGCAACAG